UGCUGGCCUGGUAGUUUCCUGAAAGAUGCAGUGUGCGCUGCACAUUUGGGAAUGUUUCCCCAGACCUCGGAGGAACAGAGGAUAGUGGAGCAGCCUCGAAACAGGAAGCAAGACUUUCCUAAUCGACCACAAAUGUCUUCUCCCGAAAAAGAUAUCUAAAGAGGGCUGGUGUUACUGAUGAGCCUGGGGUGUAACUUUCAAGCAGCACCUUAUUGAGAGGAUGGACCUGAGACUCUGAAGUUCC